ACCUGAGAAGAGUUAGUUUAAUCAACCCCCAACUGGUUACCCAGAGUUUAUGCGUGUGCACGGUGCAUGUAUAAAGACAUUUUCAAUGGAUCGCCGAUUUCACGAGUCACCAUGGAAACUCAAAGCGAAAAAAAGAGAGCGGCGUAUUUCACAGAGGCGGAGUUGGAGGUUUUAAUGCACGCUUAUGAGGAGUUUAAGCCAAUAAUAUUAAAAAAGAAGCAAUACAGCUGCAUCGGCUAAAGCAAGAGAGUUGGCUUGGCAAAAAAUAACGGACAGAGUAAAUGCGUGUAAUCCUUCUGGAGCCACAAGAACUUUAAGCCAAGUCAAAAUGAAACACAAAAACAUUCUGCAAAAAGGUAAUAUUUGAUUACACAAUUACUGAACUAUUAUUAUAACAGGAUUUAGUAUAUUCAUUCUGUCAUGUAGCUAAUAGAAAGAAGACUGAAGCCCGUCUAACUGGCGGGGGCCCACCACCACCUCCCCUCACCCCAUCUGAGGAGCUGGCUCUGUCCCUUAAUAAAGGGUGACCAGUGGUUGCUGGCAUUCCAGGGGGCAGUUCAUUGCACACACCAUGCACCACAGCACUUGAAAUUGAAUUACUGGAGCAUCGCCUUAAGGAAAAAAAGAAAUACACUGCCUGGCAGACCAGUGCAAAAAAAUUAAUAAAAGUAAUUUUGACAGAUCCUGUCUCUCAAAAGUCUUCAGUCUCUGUUGGCCUCUAAAAUCUGUAGGUGUUCCUCUGGGCCAU